UGCUGAACCGCAGAAGCGCUUUGGGGACGAGGUUUGCAUUCCAAAGAUGGAUUUAGAGCUUUGGGAAGAUGGAUUUGGGGCUGUGGGGACAAAGUCUGGAUUCCAAAAUAGGAUUUAGGGCUUUGGGGACAAAGUUUGGAAGAUGGGUUUGGGGCUCUGGGGUGCAAGGUUUGGGUUCCAAAGCAGGAUUUGGGGUUUGGGGUGCAAGGUUUGGGUUCUAAAGCAGGAUUUGGGGGGGUUCCAAAGCAGGAUUUGGGCUUUGGGUGCAAGGUUUGGGUUCCAAAGCAGGAUUUGGGGCUUUGGGGACAAAGUUUGGGUUCCAAAUCAGGAUUUGGGGCUUUGGGUGCAAGGUUCGUGUUCCAAAUCAGGAUUUGGGGGUUUGGGGACAAAGUUUGGGUUCCAAAUCAGGAUUUGGGGUUUGGGUGCAAGGUUCAGGUUCCAAAUCAAGAUUUGGGGUUUUGGGUGCAAGGUUCGGGUUCCAAAGCAGGAUUUGGGGUUUGGGGUGCAAGGUUUGGGUUCCAAAGCAGGAUUUGGGGUUUUGGGGUGCAAGGUUCGGGUUCCAAAGCAGGAUUUGGGG
rnacentral:lncRNA from 14 species